UAUUGGACUUGCGGGUGCAUUGUGAAAGCUGAGAUCAUUAAACCGUCCGAACCUGAACACGGUAAUGCGUGCGAAGGGAAAGUUUAAUAAGAUUUA
rnacentral:ncRNA from 1 species